rnacentral:rRNA from 1 species
UACAGAGGGUGCGAGCGUUGUCCGGAAUCACUGGGCGUAAAGGGCGCGUAGGCGGCUUGAUAAGCGUGCGGUGAAAGCCCGGGGCUCAACCCCGGGUCGGCCGUGCGAACUGUCGAGCUGGAGCACUGUAGAGGCAGGUGGAAUUCCGGGUGUAGCGGUGGAAUGCGUAGAUAUCAGGAGGAACACCGGUGGUGUAGACGGCUCACUGGACCGUAACUGACGCUGAGACACGAAAGCGUGGGUAGCAAACAGG